AUGGUCUCCCAAUGGCAGCUGCUCUGGCUGCUGGUGCUCUGGGCUCAGGAUUCCCAAGGGGUCGUUGUGCUGACCCAGUCUCCAGCCUCCUUGUCUGGAUCUCCAGGAGAGAGAGUCACCAUCAGCUGCAAGGCCAGUCAGAGUGUAAUAGAUGGUAAUGGUUAUGAGAGGUUAAAUUGGUACCAGCAGAAACCUGGCCAAGCCCCCAGGCUCCUCAUCUAUGAUGAGGAAUCUGGAGUCCCUGCCCGCUUCAGUGGCAGUGGGUCUGGGACAGAUUUCACCCUUACCAUCAGCAGCUUGGAGCCCGAGGAUGCUGGAGAUUAUUACUGUCAGCAGUAUGAGGGUUACCCUUGCCAGCAAGGCUUUAGGCCUCUCUUGGCUGUUCAGGGGAUUCAGCUCAGAGGAGCAGCUGCUUCCUCUCUGAACAUUUUCCCUCAUGAGUUCUUUGGAAUUGUCCUGGAUCCUUGCACUGCUGUAAAGACCCAAGCCUACCACAGUUGA